GACGAACGCUGGCGGCGUGCUUAACACAUGCAAGUCGAGCGGAGCGGCGAACGGGUGAGUAACGCGGGAGUAACUGCCCCCCUCUCUGGGAUAACAGUUGGAAACGGCUGCUAAUACCGGAUAGUGGGGGAUGACUCGCGUCCUAUCAGCUUGUUGGUGGGGUAGUGGCCUACCAAGGCGGUGACGGGUAGCCGGCCUGAGAGGGUGACCGGCCACAUUGGGCUGAGAGACGGCCCAGACGACGACGGGAGGCAGCAGUGGGGGAUAUGGCACAAUGGGCGAAAGCCUGAUGCAGCGACGCCGCGUGGGGGAUGAAGGCUUUCGGGUUGUACCCUGCUAUCGAACAAGGCUGGGUAGGUGGAGAAGAAGCGCCGGCUAACUACGUGCCAGCAGCCGCGGUAAUUC
rnacentral:rRNA from 1 species